GAUGAAGAACGUAGCGAAAUGCGAUACUUGGUGUGAAUUGCAGAAUCCCGUGAACCAUCGAGUCUUUGAACGCAAGUUGCGCCCGAAGCCACUAGGCCGAGGGCACGCCUGCCUGGGCGUCACACGCCGUUGCCCCCCCAUCUACUCCUUCGGGAUUGCGGGGGGGCGGAUGAUGGCCUCCUGUGCGCCUAGCCGCGCGGUUGACAUAAAUACCAAGUCCUCGGCGACGCACGCCACGACAAUCGGUGGUUGCGAAACCUCGGUUGCCCGUCGUGUGCGUUCGUCGCGCAUCGAGGGCUCGAAAAAAUGCUCGGCUCCGGCUGGGCUUUCAACGCGACCCCAGGUCAGGCGGGGUUACCCGCUGAAUUUAAGCAUAUCAAUAAGCGGAGGA
rnacentral:misc_RNA from 1 species